UUGACUUCGAAAGCUUCCAUGUAGACUUCUUUUUCUUUCUUUAUUGGGGUUCAAGGAUUGUGGAUUUCUGAAUUCCAGUGUAAUUGCAUCAUCUCUUAACAUGCACAAGCUAUCUCGAUGGUAAAAACAUCAUGUAUGCCUUACCUGCUGACUUUUUAACCACCUGUUGCAAGAUUAUAUGCUCUGUAAUAAUGUGACAUAGUCCAUUUUUCCCCUUUAAGUUAUUUUUGUUGCUUAAUUCCCUUGUAAAUUUUUUCGAUAUUUGGAUGUGACUUGUACAAAAUAUAUUAGAAUCUGGAGUAGGGAGCCGUAGCAGCGAGAAAACUGCAUCGCUGUUUAUUUCAAAAAUACUUGAGAGACGGGCUCAUGGUUUUCAAUAUGGAGCUUUAGAGGUGAAGGGUCAUCUGGAAAUGCGUCGUUUUUCAGAUGUUUCUACAGUAAUGAUAUGCUUCUCCCCGAAACACGUAAAAGCACUCACAGUCCCUGGAUCUGUCAUUUUCAUAUAGAUAAGGAAACUAUGAAGACAAGAAGGCUGAAGAUGAGAUCAGUUAUAGAUGCUCUUAACAUGAGAUAUAGAGCCGCAAAAUUGACAAAACCGAAAGCAGGAAUUGACCUUCCAGACUUG